UCAACACACCAGAUCUGUCUGAGUAACACGAAUAUUUUUCAAGACAGACAAUUUUCUGCUGAAUAUAAAAUUUCAUUAAAUAACUUGAUUCACCGAUGGCGGGUGUACCUGAACCAUAAAUUGAUUGCUUCCGUUCCCACGUAGUAAUUCACCUCGAAAAGCGUAAUUCAAAACACGUGCUUUUUGUUAAAUAUACCGUUGAAUACCAUCUCGAAACCGACUGGACCUCCAUCUUUCAGCAACAGAAACAUAGCUCCCACAUCUUUCAGCAACAGAAACUUUGAUACUCCACAAACCAGCUUUAAGCGACAUAAUCUUUGGUACUCGACAUUCCAGCUUUAAACGACAGAAACUUUGAAAUUCUUUAAAACAGAAUCAGCGACAAUCCAGCUUUAAAACAGUGGAAGAUCAACAGCCUAGAUUUAAAACGAGUGAAACGUUGACACAGUAGCUUUAAAUGCCCGACACUCUUAAGACUCCAGAUUUCAAACAAAUGACAAUUUUAUAAUCAGUCCUCCAGAAAAGCAUGGGAAUUAUGUGUACAUUUAUGACGUGCACGUAAAAGAUCCCUUGACAGUUGGAAUUCGAUAUAAGAGUAGGCCGUAGCGCCGCUGCCCGGGCAAAAUUUCCCUCAUAGCACACUGUAUGGCGUAUGCCCGUCUUCAUUAGCCCAGUUUAGGAGCAGAACAGUAGCAUUUUAAACCCCAUUUCAUUUCAUUUCAUUUCUUUUAUACCUUA